AGUUGGUAGUAGUAUGUUGGCCCAACGUUGGCCCGAUGUUUGUUAUACACCCAUAAAGAAUGCGUCUUAUCAAGUUGAUAGUAGUAUGUUGGCCUAACGUUGGCCAAAUGUUUGUAAUACAUCCUUAAUAAAGUGUCUUAUCAAAUUGGUAGUAGUAUGUUGGCCCAACGUUGGCCCAAUGUUUGUUAUACACCCUUAAAGAAAGUGUCUUAUCAAAUGGGUAGUAGUAUAUUGGCCCAUUGUUUGUAAUACACCCUCAAAAAAUGUCUUAUCAAUAUCAAUUUGGUAGUACAUUGUAGUAUGUUGGCCCGAUGUUAGCACGAGUGUUCUUUUGGUUAGGUGUUUCAAAGAUGGGAUAUUUAUAUUGGGCCAACGCUGGCCCAAUUAUUAUACUGCCAACUAAAGAUGGUGUCAAUUUUAGCUGCUGAGCUGACAUUCUAUGUCCCUGCUUUUAAUUGGAUGACUGUUUUUGUUUAGAUCUGAUAUAUUCAACAUUUUAAAUUUAAACUUAAGUGAUCACAGCACCAAAGAGUGUUUUAUUAUAUUUUUUGAAUUGUGCACAUGCAUGAUUAUUUAUUUGAAAUAAAACCCUUGAAAUUAUGAAUUUUUUCAUGAGCGUUGUAUUCAUGAGAAUUUAGAGAAGACUGAAUACGUUCUCAGGAACAGGAUGUGAAUGAAGCCUACAUAUACAUAAAUCAAAAUGACACAGCUUUAUAAUUAAAUUGAAACAAAAGUUAGGCGUUCGCUAUCACGUGACCAAACUGUGGAGUGAGCUGUCAGGUUCAAUUGCUCAGAGGUGGUGAUAAUGCAGGGCAAGCAAGAAGAAGUGAAAUUUAAAUUUUUGGAUUAUACACUUGCUAUACAGCUGCAUUUAGAAGCGAUACACGAUUGUAACAAAGAAAUUCAGUCAGAGACUGCAAGGAAAACAAAUGUUGUGGCGGUACAUAUAUAUUACAAUGAAAUCAAGACCAUGCAGAAAGAAGUGUAUAAAGUAUGAGUCCGUAUGACAAAGAUCAACAUGAAGAAAACGGGAGGCGAGAAGGGACGGAAAAAGAGCGGGAAUACAACAAAAGGACAAUAAUAAAGGAAGUGAGCCCUGAUUAAGAACUUUUAAUUGAUAAUUUUUCAUAAUUUACCUCUAUUGUCUAUUUUAAAAUUUAUUUUGUAAAUUAUGAUUGAAUUGAUGUAUAUAAAAUAUUAUCACAGUGAA